GAUGAACGCUAGCGAUAGGCCUAACACAUGCAAGUCGAGGGGCAUCACAUGAAGUAGCAAUACGGAUGGUGGCGACCGGCGCACGGGUGAGUAACACGUAUGCAACCUGCCUUCAACAAGGGGAUAACCCGUUGAAAGACGGACUAAUACCCUAUAACACAGGGGUCCCGCAUGGGAAUAUUUGUUAAAGGACAACCGGUUGAAGAUGGGCAUGCGUUCCAUUAGCUAGUUGGCGGGGUAACGGCCCACCAAGGCAACGAUGGAUAGGGGAACUGAGAGGUUUAUCCCCCACACUGGUACUGAGACACGGACCAGACUCUUACGGGAGGCAGCAGUGAGGAAUAUUGGUCAAUGGACGCAAGUCUGAACCAGCCACGUCGCGUGAAGGAAGACGGCCCUACGGGUUGUAAACUUCUUUUAUACGGGAAUAAAGUGCCCCACGCGUGGGGUUUUGCAUGUACCGUAUGAAUAAGGAUCGGCUAACUCCGUGUCAGCAGCCGCGGUAAAUACG
rnacentral:rRNA from 1 species